UACGGAGGGGGCUAGCGUUAUUCGGAAUUAUUGGGCGUAAAGGGCGCGUAGGCGGCCAUGCGUGUCUUCCGUGAAAUCCCUCGGCUUAACUGAGGACGUGCGGAAGAAACUGCAAGGCUCGAGUCCGGGAGAGGGGGGUGGAAUUCCCAGUGUAGCGGUGAAAUGCGUAGAUAUUGGGAGGAACACCGGUGGCGAAGGCGGCCCCCUGGACCGGAGCUGACGCUGAGGCGCGAAAGCGUGGGUAGCAAACGG
rnacentral:rRNA from 1 species